rnacentral:rRNA from 1 species
UGGAGGAACACCGGCGGCGAAGGCGGCGANNNNNUCCAAUACUGACACUCAUACACGAAAGCGUGGGGAUCAAACAGGAUUAGAUACCCUGGUAGUCCACGCCGUAAACGAUGGAUACUUGAUGUUGAAGGUAUUGACCCCUUCAGUGUCGUAGCUAACGCGUUAAGUAUCCCGCCUGGGGAGUACGGUCGCAAGAUUAAAACUCAAAGAAAUUGACGGGGGCCCGCACAAGCGGUGGAGAAUGUGGUUUAAUUCGAUGCAACGCGAAAAACCUUACCUGGGUUUGGCAUCCUGUGAACGCUAUGGGGACAUAGAAGGCCCGAAAGGGACACAGAGACAGGUGCUGCAUGGCUGUCGUCAGCUCGUGUCGUGAGAUGUUGGGUUAAGUCCCGCAACGAGCGCAACCCUUGCCAUUAGUUGCUACAUUUAGUUGGGCACUCUAAUGGGACUGCCGGUGACAAACCGGAGGAAGGUGGGGAUGACGUCAAGUCCUCAUGGCCCUUAUGGGUAGGGCUUCACACGUAAUACAAUGGUAGGUACAGAGGGCAGCCAACCCGCGAGGGGGAGCUAAUCCCAGAAAGCCUAUCGUAGUCCGGAUUGUAGUCUGCAACUCGACUACAUGAAGCCGGAAUCGCUAGUAAUCGCGGAUCAGCAUGUCGCGGUGAAUACGUUCCCGGGUCUUGUACACACCGCCCGUCACACCAUGGGAGUGGGUUCCACCAGAAAUAGUUAGCCUAACCGCAAGGAGGGCGACUACCACGGUGAGAUUCAUGACUGGGGUGAAGUCGUAACAAGGUAGCCG